UAGGGCGAACGGGUGAGUAACACGUGGGUAAUCUGCCCUGCACUUCGGGAUAAGCCUGGGAAACUGGGUCUAAUACCGGAUAUGACCACGAAGCGCAUGCUUUGUGGUGGAAAGCUUUUGCGGUGUGGGAUGGGCCCGCGGCCUAUCAGCUUGUUGGUGGGGUGAUGGCCUACCAAGGCGACGACGGGUAGCCGGCCUGAGAGGGUGUCCGGCCACACUGGGACUGAGAUACGGCCCAGACUCCUACGGGAGGCAGCAGUGGGGAAUAUUGCACAAUGGGCGCAAGCCUGAUGCAGCGACGCCGCGUGGGGGAUGACGGCCUUCGGGUUGUAAACCUCUUUCAGCAGGGACGAAGCGCAAGUGACGGUACCUGCAGAAGAAGCACCGGCCAACUACGUGCCAGCAGCCGCGGUAAUACGUAGGGUGCGAGCGUUGUCCGGAAUUACUGGGNCGAA
rnacentral:rRNA from 1 species